UACGUAGGGCGCAAGCGUUGUCCGGAAUUACUGGGCGUAAAGAGCUCGUAGGUGGUUUGUCGCGUUGUUCGUGAAAACCGGGGGCUUAACCCUCGGCGUGCGGGCGAUACGGGCAGACUUGAGUACUGCAGGGGAGACUGGAAUUCCUGGUGUAGCGGUGGAAUGCGCAGAUAUCAGGAGGAACACCGGUGGCGAAGGCGGUGCUCUGGGCCAGUACUGACGCUGAGGAGCGAAAGCCAGGGGAGCAAACGGG
rnacentral:rRNA from 1 species